rnacentral:misc_RNA from 1 species
CAUAAUUCGCCCCAUCGAAUGACGCCCGGUGUUGUGUUGAGGUGUUAGAUGCAUUGUGCGUCUAGCUUUCUCUUGCAAUGCCGGUGUCAGUGAGGAAUGC